GGGAGGCUUCCAGGCUUCAAUCACCGCCGGCUCUGCCUACACUCCCCUGGACCGCCUCUCCCUAGCCAGCAUCCUUUCACCUGCCUUGUAGUAGGGUGAUUGGGGCUCUCUUGGCAACGGGUCAACGCUACAUGCAGCAGCCUCUCUCCACUAUUACAGCUCUGUGCGAUCAAUACAAUUACAGAACAUGGUUUAACCUAACCGAUGACAUGUGAAAUUAAUUUCAAACCUCUCAGCCUCCCAGAGAGUCCAAUUUUGCAAGAGUUCAAGAUGAGAUGCUUGCAUGCUGUAGUAUCUUCCCAUAUUAGUCUCUAGAACUGUUAACAGCCUGGAGUCGGUCGCUGGCAGAAUUUUUGGAGCAGAGUGCAUUCUAGCAAGACUCCCGUUACAAAUGGCGCCUGAACAGGGACCCUUCUGCUAGUCGUCUCACACGUGGUAGAGGACCCAACAGCCACAAGGUAGCGGCACACAUACUAGCAAACUCCAGACCAAGCUGAACUUGUGGGCAUCAGUACCAGACCAAGGGUGUUGUGAGUAGCGGUUAAACCCAACCCC